rnacentral:rRNA from 1 species
UGCAAGUCGAACGGUGAUCUCGGGGCUUGCUCCGGGUGAUCAGUGGCGAACGGGUGAGUAACACGUGAGCAACCUGCCCCUUACUCUGGGAUAAGCCUUGGAAACGAGGUCUAAUACCGGAUACGAGACGCACGGGCAUCUGUAGCGUCUGGAAAGAAUUUCGGUGAGGGAUGGGCUCGCGGCCUAUCAGCUUGUUGGUGGGGUGAUGGCCUACCAAGGCGACGACGGGUAGCCGGCCUGAGAGGGCGACCGGCCACACUGGGACUGAGACACGGCCCAGACUCCUACGGGAGGCAGCAGUGGGGAAUAUUGCACAAUGGGCGCAAGCCUGAUGCAGCGACGCCGCGUGAGGGAUGACGGCCUUCGGGUUGUAAACCUCUUUCAGCAGGGAAGAAGCGCAAGUGACGGUACCUGCAGAAGAAGCGCCGGCUAACUACGUGCCAGCAGCCGCGGUAAUACGUAGGGCGCAAGCGUUGUCCGGAAUUAUUGGGCGUAAAGAGCUCGUAGGCGGUUUGUCGCGUCUGCUGUGAAAACCUCAGGCUCAACCUGGGGCUUGCAGUGGGUACGGGCAGACUAGAGUGCGGUAGGGGUGACUGGAAUUCCUGGUGUAGCGGUGGAAUGCGCAGAUAUCAGGAGGAACACCGAUGGCGAAGGCAGGUCACUGGGCCGCAACUGACGCUGAG